UACGUAGGGGGCAAGCGUUGUCCGGAUUUAUUGGGCGUAAAGGGCGCGUAGGCGGCUUGCCAAGUCAGGGGUGAAAUCUUUCGGCUCAACCGGAAAAGUGCUUCUGAUACUGGCAGGCUGGAGGGAGGUAGGGGCAGAUGGAACUUCCGGUGGAGCGGUGAAAUGCGUAGAUAUCAGGAGGAACACCGAUGGCGAAGGCAGGUCUCUGGGCCAUAACUGACGCUGAGAAGCGAAAGCAUGGGGGAGCGAACAGG
rnacentral:rRNA from 1 species